GCCGAGGUGGCGGAAUGGCAGACGCCGCGGACUUAAAAUCUGCUGUCCAUAAAGGGCGUGUGGGUUCGAGUCCCACCCUCGGCACCA
rnacentral:tRNA from 1 species